GUGUUCACCCCACGUUUCAUGUCUCUCUGGUAAAACCAGUCUCCACCAGCCCUCUCUGCCCCCCAGCUGCUCCCCCCCCUCCUCCCCGUUUGAUUGAUGACCACCCGGCUUUCACCGUCCAGCGGUUACUGGACAUACGUCGUCGGGGUAGGGGUUUUCAAUACCUUGCAGAUUGGGAGGGAUAUGGGCCCGAGGAGAGGAACUGGAUUUCGCGGGGACUCAUCCUCGACCCCUCUCUCAUUCGGGAUUUUCAUCUGGCUCACCCUGAGAAGCCUAGGCCGCCAAGAGGCGUCCGUUGAGGGGGAGGUCCUGUCAUGGCCACUGUUGUAGUGCUGUGUAUUCUGCACUGUAAAAAAAAUGAUUUGCAAUUGUUGGACUAAUUAUAGUUUUCAAGUUAGUCAGACUCUAAAAUAAGGUUUUGCUAUGUUUAACUACCGAAACAGAGUCUGGCCAGCAAACUUCCCCCUAUCGUUGCCUCAAAAGCUAUUUUCAGAACACUACAACUAAGAUUUUGGAGUUGCAAAAAGGUAGACGUCUUUUUGUUGGAAACCCCGUAGAUUUCGUUUCAGGGGUGGGGGCGGGGCAGUCUGGGCUGUGCGUGAGUGAGUGGAUGUCAGUUUGGAAGGACGGAAUCUCAUUGUCGACAUUGGUGCCAGAUCUUGGUGAUAACGAGCAUGUUUGGGGGAUUCGUCGAACAUUUGUUUGGCUAAAAAGGGGAGGAUCACAUGCAGUGCAAAUUUUGCAAAUUCUCAAGCUCCAGUCAAGAGGCUCUUCUGAAGCACUGCUGACUUCGUCACAGAACUUCGUCACUGAACACAGGGCGCACUGGCCCUGUGUUCACCCAGACUGUGUGUGUGUAUUUAAAACACUUGGUGCAUUAAAGUCGCACCUCUCAAGAUCACACACAACUGUGAGAAUCCAGGAAAAUUAAACAUUUCAAUGUGAAUUGUGCGAUUUUAAAGAGAUUUGCAGUGAAAAAGGUUUUUGGAACCACCUCGGGCAUCAUAUAAAGCAACGAGAAACUGUACCAUGUCCCAUUCUAAGGUGCAACUUUAAAACAAACACUCGCUCAACCUUCAGUUCUCACAGAAGUCGAAACCAUAAGAAUUGUACGCUUAGGGAUUUUCGAUCAAUAGCAAGAGCUGAUACUGAAGAUGUUGGAAAUGAUGGUGAACAAUCUGAUGGUGAAACUGGGACUGCAUUGCACAAUAGUGUGAGACCAACAGAGGUUGAAG
rnacentral:lncRNA from 1 species